GAGCUCUGUCGGUAAUAAAAUUAAAAAAUAAAACAGACAUUUCGUUACAACUUAAUUCUAUAUUAUAACAGCCACGCAUACUCUGUGUUUGGCAAGUAUACUCAUCAUUGCUUAAUUUUUGCGACAUAUUUUAGGUACACACUUUUCAAAGUUUUUAAAGAGAUCGCAAUAGCCAACUGGUUAAAAAGAUGACGCCACUUGCGAUCAAUGUGACGCGAUACUACGACAAAUCAGUGUCAUCAAUCCACCACGUAUUUAAGUAACUUUCGUAAUGACCAAAAUUAGCAUCGUUGUUGGCUAAAUAAAUCUACGGUCCUGUGAAAAAAAAAAUUUCAACGGAUACCUCGAUAUUUUUCCAAACUGGACACGACGAGUUUUCAUACUAUAUGUUGCAUAUCUACGUCUCAUUUAACAGCAAGAAGCAGAGCUCGAUCGAGAGUAAACCGAGAAGCACCGUAGACUUGUUUGUCGAGGAAGACUCUAUCUCCAUCGUAUAACAUAACGUGUUUACACUGCAGAUGAAUUCGUCAGGAAACGCUUUGGACUGUUACGGCGAAAUACGUUGUGAUUUGUUGCUACGAAUCUUCGUUACGCGAAUACACCGUGGCAGCUCGAUGAGGAAUGAAUUAUGAUUUCAGUAUACGACAUCGACACUGAUAAACAUCUAUGGACGUGUUGGCUUAGGUAAACAAGUUUCAUUUUUCGUAUAUGUAAAUUUCCGUCACACGACCAUGGAAAAUGAAGCGAGUCUUCCAUGACAUAUAAUUUUCUUUUCCUUCACUGAUUUAUAAUUGCUACUGCGGAUAGCGACAAUGGAAUUGAUAUUGAGAAUAACAGAAAGAGAGAGGGAAAGGGAGAGGUUUAAUGGCCAAACUUUGUCAGUAUACGAUAUGAACAGAUAGUCAAGCCAAAAAAUAUUAUAUAAACAUAGGUCUUUUAAAGCUUUAUUGAAAACUUUAAACAAAUAUUGUAUAUUAAUAAUUUACUUGUACUUUAGGUCCAUAACCUGUUACAAGAAGGUUGUUGUAUUCUUAUUUCUAACUUCUUACACUAUAUUUAUAUUCCUACAUUGAGCUCUUUAGUUAGUAUAUUGUAUUGUUAUUGUGUUUAUAUUAUAUUUUAUUCUGUAAUGUUAUAUUAUUUAACUCAUUUUUAAUUAGUAUAUAUGACCACACAUAUAUCAUAUAUAUGUGUGUACAUAUUAUGUAGCUGUAAGAAAUAAGAAUAAAAGUACGAAUAAUUUAUCACAUACAUAUUUUUGAUAAUUUUCUACCGCGUGCUACACGCGACAAUGUAACGCUAAAUGGAGUGUACUCAUAAUUAAUUAUUUCCUAUGUCUGACCGUAAACAAUGCCAACAAAUAUCAAGUUUAAUUAGCGUUUUCAAUUUAUGCCCAUGCCGCUACACUUAUCGGUGUGUUUACGCGUACCUAGACGCUCGUAAUGACAGUGUUAUCAUGAAUCGAUAAUUAAUAUAACUGGAGCGCACAACGUCCCAUCAUGGAUUAUCAAUUUGGCUUAGUUUUUUGCACAUAACGCACACCAUAUUUCCGAUAAUGGUAAGGAAGAAAUUACUACAAAUUUCGAGUUAUCUUAAAACUUCAAAUCGACUAUUUUAUAUAACCUUUCAGUGUAGUAUAUCUAUAUGUGUAUAUGAGUACAAUAGUAUAAUGUGUAGCAGUCGUGUUUCUCUUUUAAGGAAAUUUCAAAAUGUUUUACAUAAUACACACGAUCUAUAGGAUUUACUUAAGAGUUUUGUGCUGAAAUAUAUUUCCUACUACCUAUUAAUUACGUCGAAAAAGUGUUUUGCAUAAAAGUCGAAUGGUUUCAACGGCGCCAUAUUCUGAUGUUAUUAGUUUCCCUAUCAUCUUUUUUCUUUAAUCGAAUCAUAUAUUGUUUAAUAUGUUAAUCGAUGCAGCUCAAGAUUCUCUAUAAAAAAAAAGUUAUUAACCUACUUACGUCGAAAAACUAUUAGUUCAGUAGACACUUUAACAUUUAUUUUGUAAAAGUUGUCGUAUGAAAGGCAAGGAGAACAGACAGAAAAAUAGUUUCUAUUUCCUAUUUAUAAAUUCCUCAUAUAAUUAACCAGUUAGCUGUUGUUGACGAGUAUACUCGUCAUGAAGAAAUGGCAAUAUUCUGUGUUAUGACGAAUCCCAUAAUAAGACAGUCAUUUCAUGAUAACUUAAUACUAUAUUACAACAGCCACAUAUACCCUGUGUUUGACAAGUAUACACGUUAUCUCUUACUUUUUGCGUCACAUUUUAGGUACAAAGAGAUCGCAAAAGAUAACUGGUUAAUAGUAUCAACGAUAUUUCAGCUUAGAUGGCUCUUAGGUGACUCACCCUGUAUACACGAAAGUUUUCCAUGGUAUGUGUUUGAAUACUUUCGCUAGCAUGUAUAUCUAUGUUAAUAAUUCCACUAUAAUAUCAGACUCUCUUCGUUCGAUUAACGAUAUUAUCUGAACAGUCUGAAACUGAAGCUUAACUGUGUUGCAGUGAUGAACGGUGAAUAUCUACAAUAUUUGUACCUGUAUAACACGGUUUAUUAUUAAGUGGCAUGGUUGCACGUCGAUAGCUUUGCAUUAGUUCUCCUUAUUCAGGCUAUAAAUAAUUUUCCGAUAUUGUUUCAUCCUCGCACGCGUAAGCGCCCAUAAGCCACGCCGAGCGAUAGUUAUUCUCUUCGUACACAUUAAAAAUAUCAUCUUGAGAAAGGAUCAUGCUCGUGGCUAAUGGAAAACUGCCGACAUAAUAAUAUCUAUCCUGUGGCCUCGUUGCAACACCCUUUCAAUCCGAAUGAAUAUUAAAGUCUGACAUGUUGAUAUCAAUAAUAAUAAUUAAUCGCUCUAUUUUUAAACGAAGAAUUUACCGAUAAGAACAGAAGUAUCUAUUAUGCGAAAAAAAUAAUAAUAAUGAUAAGGAAAAUAAUAUAAUCGUAAUAUUUAUAUAUAUAAUUGAUUUAUAUAUAUAUAUAAUUGAUUUGUGUUAAGUCAGUAAACACGAAAUAUCUUUUAUUAUGCUUCUUUGACACUAACCUUACCAGACUCGGUCAAAUGACCGGUUUCAAAAUUUCAUUUAAAAUUGUACGUUCAUUGUUAUCUCUGCUGUUCAUCUAACUUUAUGUAAAUUCUUAUAUUAACAAAAAUUGAGAAGUUGAUUAAUCAGAUAAUUUGACCGGUCCUAGUAAGAUGUGUUAAAGUGUCAAUUUGGCGCACCAAUGCCUGGUAAGCGACGAUAUAACGAAAUUUAAUUGGCCGCCAAAUUCGAACUUUAGAAGAACGAUGUUUCAUAUCGAUCGACCAAAUAAUUGUUAUAUCGAUAAAAAUGUUCGAAAAAUUCCUUAGGAAUAUUAUAUGCUGAUAGCAAAGGUGUAUUAAUACCAGCGAUACGAUAUUUUGAUUAAUAGAGUUACUUUAAAAAAAAGCAAAAGCAUAUUUGUUUUAAUAAAAGAAAAUUUAUAUUUUAUACGUUACGACCUAAUGAAUUUAAUAAUUGGAAAUUCAAUAGACUAACAAAUGUCUAAAACACACUAUCCAACGGUCGACGUAACAUGAUUUAUAUAGGUCUAGUGAUUUUAUGACUUUAUUCGUCAACUCAUCACUCACCAGCGGUCAAACCUUCGCUUCCCAUUGCUGGUCAGCCCACUCUGCAUUCCACUUUAACCAAAAUACAAAUUCGACAGCUCUACCAAUCACGGGAAACAAACAAGGCACACCUUCGACCACACCCGACGCAAAAUAUAAAGCAUAGUAUCAGACAGCUUUUUCGAUCAAACUCAAAGUCGAUUUAACUCGAUCAACUUUUCAAACAAGCUACAGGUACACUAUGAAUGUUUGUGUAUUUAUGGAAUAUCAAUUCAACCCUUUGAACGCCCAAGAUGUUAAAUCUGAGUUAUUUAAAAAGUGCAAAAUUUAUAUAUUUAUAUAGCUUUGUGGCGACACUCGACGACGGAAUUUUCCGACGGCUUUGCGACACAAAGCAUAAUAUCAUCAAAGCGUAAGGUCGACAUGCCUAAUGUGCCACCGAUAUCCCUACGGUCCUUCCGCCGAAUAUUCGGAAGAAUACGUACGCGGCAACGUCGCGAACGUCUAACGAACGCGUGCGUAGUGGGGAUAUCGAGGGGCAACAAAAGAAAAGAAUCUGUCCAAAGAUUCAUUCGGUUUUGAGCAGUGAAGUGCGAAGGGUCAGGUGUAACAGCGAAGCAAACGUAGUCGAGAAGCGAGAAUUGUUGAUUGUUAAAUAAAUUAUAUUGUUGAACAUCGAGAGUAUUUCUUGGGCAUCUUUGAUACAUGUAAAACGCUGUUUGCUGUUUCGUCGAAGGAGUUUUAGCGAGAACAGGUUAGUCGUUAGUCAGGGACAGAGUUCGACUAAUUUUUAACACAAUGCGACAUUGGGUUAAAGUUAAAAGAUUGAAGAUAAGCGAAACGCUUUAAUAGUUGUUCCUAAUAGAUUUAACGGGGGCGUUCCUCUAUCUUCCCUUCGAAGUACUUUUAUCUGUUUCAAUUAAUUCACCAGGUUUCACGUUCUAUUAACAAAAGCGUUUAAUUAAAAUGUUAACUACAGAACUUCAAAGUGUAAACACUUUGAAACGAGAAUUGACAUCGCAAAAGAGGAGAAAACGGAGGAUUUUAACAUGUGAAGUCUGAAUGUUCCACCUUGGUGUCGCAGUUGCGCUAGUUCCGACAGAUGGAUAUCCGUUCCGACCUAGCUAAAGUGAAUAAGCAAUUUCUGAAUGCAAGUGCUGAAUACAAGUUUCGUAGGUCCUCUUUAGCGGACCAACUACAAAAGGCCGAAACAAACACGACGAAACUGCUAUUAAUGUUUCUCUGUAUCGUGAAAACGUCCGUGAAAGUGUUUCUUUAUUUUAAGAAAUUAUUAAAAUAGUAACAUCGCUGUUUUAAAGCAACUGGCGGGAAAUUUAAAACUGCACGAAAGAAAAGAACCGAGAGUACUCUUAAAAUCGUGUUCUUUUUAAACGUUUUUCUUUGACAGGCACGCGUAUCGAUUACUGUAAUUCAAUAACGACUAAUAACGAUAUAACAGAAAAGAUUGUCCUAUAAACUCUUUUCUUAAUGUAAAAUAUCUUUAUUAUUUCGAGUAUUAAGCGAAAAUUGAAAAUAUUGAAAAUAUCGCUGUUCCGAAUAAAAAUAUUUUAUUUAUAAAUAAAAAUUUGUAGAUUUAAAAAGAACAAAACAGCGUAAAAGAAACGAAAUAGAAUAUUAUCAAAUAGUGGAUGAAGUUAUUUAAGGAGGUAAUGUAAUUUAUCUAAUAACCUAAUAUAACCAUUCACUGUGCUGAUAGAACUAUUGGAUAGCUCUAUCUAACCUAGCUAAUAAACUUAUGGCAGCUCUAUAUGAGUACUUAACGAAGUUAUCUGAACGGCUAAUUAAACUACCUAAGAAAUUAAUGCAGUUACCUGAUGAACUGAUAAGCUUACGCAGGAAGAAAUCUGAAAUUUAUGAUCGAUGACUUUGUUACUUGUCAAUUUACUAAUAUCGCGAUUUGCUAAAUUUUGAAACUAAAUUCCACGAAUCGGAAGCCAUUGUAAAAUUAUAAAAUUGUAAAAGAGGACAGGUACGAUCUGCAAUUCUUCGCUUAUCAAUUCGUUGAUAUCAUUAAUUGGUAAUUUAUCGGUCAAGAAGUCUCCGAUGGUAACACAGCGUGAUUUAAAACUCUUGCAUAGUGCCUCAUAUUUUUAUAUACUAUUUUAUUUAUUCACCUGCACGGCAUACGGUCUAUUUACAGCAAUUAUUGGCUUCUAGUUUCUGGAUUAAAUUGAGAAACUGUAAUCGAUUACUCUGCUUUAUUUCUCACUACUAAGCGAACAAACUUCUAUUUAUUCUACCGAUACGACAAGCAAACUGCGGAUAGUACGCGUGAACAUAGGGAAUAUCCAAAGCGUAGUAUUUGUUACGUCCACAAUUCAAUAGGUAAAAGAAAUUUCUACCUAGCAUUCACUUUUUACGUCAUACCCAUAAAAAUAUGAAUUCGGCAUAAAAAUGUACAGACGAUGUCUGAUUCCGGUUUGUCUUACAAGUGACUGCGAGCUAGUUAGACGCAGUGAUCCGACGAGGAAUCGCGACAAUCCUAACCGAUUUACCAGCGAAUAAUACGGUUGAACACGAGUCAACUAUCGCAUAGAGACAAUCUCAAGGGUACACUGCCCGAGGAAAUAGAGACUAUUGACCUGUGAUGAAGCAUUGGUACCUCUGGAUCGAUUACACUCCAUACAACCUCUUCGAUCAUCUUAACAACUAACUAGUGGAAAUACACACACUGGCUGACGAAAGUAUUCGAGAUUUCGCUAGCUCUGUAACGAGACGUAGCUAUCGUGUUUAUGUAAUAGUAAAAUUUGAGAUCAGUCCUGAAAAUGUACAUAUACGGGUAUACAUAGAAGUUAGAAGAUAUUUAUUGCAAACGUACACUUAGUGGAAAAUUAGUAUACACGGCGCGAAUAGUAGCCUUAAAAGUGCAAUUAAUGUUAAAGAUAGUGUCAUUACACGAUUGUGGCUCAUUAAUAUAACGAAUAAUCGACUGUUCGAGUACUUUGCUGAUCAUGUUUCUAUGCUUCUUAUAAAUAUCUUGUAACUUCCGUACGGAAUGGACCAGUUAAAUAGGAUCACCUAAAUAUCUUCAUUAUUUGUAUUAUCGUAUACAAAAUUUUCUCAGGAGAAACAUGCACCGUUUGAAGCAGCACACGUAAUAUUGGAAAUUGGUUUCCUUAGUGAUCGUUCCUUUUUACGAGAUCCGAAGAUCACUGAUAUCUUUUUGUCGAUAAGCCUAUAUUUGUGUUUGGAUAUUUUCCUAGAGCAUGGAAAAAUAAAUUCAACGACCUAUAGAACUAUGGUCCUUCCGAUCCUAUGCUUUUCGCAUAUUUGCGUCUGAAUGUAUUAAAAUUUUACGUGAUAUCUCAGGUUACGCAGCACACCGACUCUUCACGUUUAUGUCCAAACAUAAACAUCGGCUUCUAUUACAAGCGAUAAGGCACUGGAUGAUCGCAACUGCGGAAAUAUUUUCGAAUGCUAACCAAUGUUUACGUUUGAAUGUGUAUACACGAAUUAGUAUGCUGGGUGUGAAUUGAAAUGCCGCGAAAAUUUUUAACAAGUUCGAAAUUCAGAAACGAAUAUCUCAAGAUUAAAUAAUUCUAACGAUACGGUUCUAUAUAUGGUUGAAUUUUUUUUCACUCUCUACAAGAAUAUUCAAAAAUAAGUACACGGCUAUCAACGAAAAAUAUCAGUAACCCUGAAAUUUCAUAAUGAAACAAUCACUAGAAAGAAAAAUCUACUUUGAGUACUACGUUACGCUCCUUGAAGCAGUGCAAUUUUCUCCUGGGUAGUUUUCUUACACGAUAGUAAGUAGUACAGCUAUUUAGGUGAUUUCAUUUAGUUGGUCCACCCUGUAUACAUUUUCAAGUUCGUUUCAAAUUCGACUAACAUAUAGUCCUGUCUCAUUACAGUGCUAAUGAAGUUUCCAAACGUUUUAUAUAAUGCGUACAAUAUUAUUCAGCUUCUAAUUAAUUCACAACUAAAGCGGAACUGUAAAUGGAAUAACAAAAAGAGGAUUCUCAUUGAAAAUCAGUUGACAAUUUCUAAAUAUAGUCCCAGGUUGGUGUAGCCGCUUAUCUUCAAAUUGCACUUGUAACUACUUAGAGUUACAAUUUAAUGGGGUGAAUUCUACAACGAUUCUCUGUACGGCCAGGAGUUGGAUUGUUCAGGACAGUUACGCGCCUCAUUCGGCUCGGUGCCAACAGGCGUGUAAAGAGUUUCCAUAGAACGACGUUCGGCAGCAAAUUCACGGAGAUCGACCUACGACCAGGACGUUCGACACCUUCUUUUUUCACGGCCAUUUGAAACAGAGUACGUUCUUUCAAUUGGCUCCGCCCAGGAGCUUAUUCUCUGUGCGAUAUUCAAAUAUCAAACUCCUGUUUUAUGCUUCAUUUCAACGUUUUAACCACAGGUCACUUGCCACCGAAAGGAGCUUCCAUUUUUAUCUCUUUAGUACGAUUCGGUGGAAGAUUUUAGGAACAUUGGCGUUUGAAUACAUUCAGUUUGCAGUUUUCGACGUACAAAAUCUUUUCAAUUCUCAGGAGUCUCGAGACUUUCAGUAUCCCAACCCUAAUUUUUAGAACUCUCACAAAGUUCAAUUAAUCGAUCGUAUCACGAAUGUAAAUCAACUUGCUUUAUCAUUUUCUACAAAAUAGUCAAUGGCGUGAUUAAUGAAUCACGUCCACAGGGAUUGUUCACUAUUGAGAAAUUUCCUAACACUUGGAAACCCAGCACACUUUGCCGCGCGCAAGUUACAACGUUAUUACUCGGCAAAGUAAAAGCUUAUUCCUUUUUUACACUUAUUUUCAUCUUUUUAUAAUUUUGUUAUAGAGAAGCUGGAUCGAAGGACGUAAGGCCAUAGGAAACUACGUAUCGAUAUAUUCAUGGUGAUCAUGCAUCGACAGUUAUUUAUAAAUAGUUUGAUUAUUAAUAAAUAUCUUCUUCCUUUUUUUCAGUUAUUCUUUCGGUGUACGAGUUAGAACAGUACAUGUUUCCCAAUCUUUUUUCAAUCAUGCUCUACCUCAGCGCCUCGAAGAUCCUGCUGUAUCCUUUAGAAGUGGAAUCUAGGUAAAAAAUGAUCGUAUCCAGUAUUAUAUAUAUAAAUACAUAAGUACUGUACAUAUAAAGUACUACGUUACUCUGCUGUACUUUUGUAACUUAAAACGACCAGUACCAUAGGAAGUAGUAUAUGUAUUACUUUAUCAUACUUGUAGUACUGUAGUACAACGAGUACUAUACUCCAACUUCAACGAACAAUAAACUUUAAGCUUAAGCCAA